rnacentral:pre_miRNA from 1 species
AGAGGAAUAGCUGGGUCAAAUGGUGGUUCCAUUCCCAGAUUUCCAAGGAAUCUCCAUAUUGCUUUCCAAAUUGGCUGCACCAAUUUGCAGUCCCACCCGCAGU